CGCGCCGAUUGGCCGGCGUGGCCCACGUGACCUCCGCAGGCCGGACGCCGCGCGGGCCCCGCCUCCAGGAGUCGACAGGCGAGGGGGUGAGGAUGGCUGGGCGGCCGGCUGGGCUGGAGCGGGCUUGGGGUGGAGCGGGCUGGGGCCAGGGCCCGCGGUCACGACCCCGCCGACCGGGCCCCGCGCCCAGCGGCUCAGGAGGCGUCGCCCUUCCGCCGCGUCGCCCCUCGGCCCGCCCGGCCCGCUCCCUUCCAGCUCGGAGCCGCGGGGACUCGGCGCCCAGGGAAAGAAUGCGUUAUCCAGAAGUGAAGGACUCCGCUUUGAAGGUGGGGACGUCUGUCCCCUUCCUGGGACGCCGGUGCUGACGCUCCCUCGAAGGUCUUAGUUGCGGCAAGCUUGUGGGAUCUAGUUCCCUGACCAGGGAUCGAACCCAGGACCCCUGCAUUGGGAGCUCAGAGUCUUAAGCCCUGUGCCACCAGGAAAGUCCCGCAUUUCUCUGUUAAUCAUCGAUGUUGAGCAUCUUUUCA